rnacentral:rRNA from 1 species
AUUGAACGCUGGCGGCAGGCCUAACACAUGCAAGUCGAACGAGUGGCGGACGGGUGAGUAAUGUCUGGGAAACUGCCUGAUGGAGGGGGGUAACUACUGGAAACGGUAGCUAAUACCGCAUACCAUCAGAUGUGCCCAGAUGGGAUUAGCUUGUUGGGGGGGUAACGGCUCACCCAGGCGACGAUCCCUAGCUGGUCUGAGAGGAUGACCAGCCACACUGGAACUGAGACACGGUCCAGACUCCUACGGGAGGCAGCAGGGGGGAAUAUUGCACAAUGGGGGAAAGCCUGAGGCAGCCAUGCCGCGUGUGUGAAGAAGGCCUUCGGGUUGUAAAGCACUUUCAGCGAGGAGGCGUUACCCGCAGAAGAAGCACCGGCUAACUCCGUGCCAGCAGCCGCGGUAAUAC